GAUGAACGCUAGCGGCAGGCCUAAUACAUGCAAGUCGAACGGGAUUAAGGAGCUUGCUUCUUAUGAGAGUGGCGCACGGGUGCGUAACACGUAUGCAACCUACCUUUAACUGGGGGAUAGCCUUCCGAAAGGAAGAUUAAUACCGCAUAACAUAAUGGAGUGGCAUCACUUUAUUAUCAAACUAUUUGGGUUAAAGAUGGGCAUGCGUCCGAUUAGCUAGUUGGUACGGUAACGGCGCACCAAGCCUACGAUCAAUAGCUGAUGUGAGAGCAUGAUCAGCCACACGGGCACUGAGACACGGGCCCGACUCCUACGGGAGGCAGCAGUAAGGAAUAUUGGGCAAUGGGCGCAAGCCUGACCCAGCCAUGCCGCGUGCAGGAAGAAGGCGUUAUGCGUUGUAAACUGCUUUUAUACAGGAAGAAACGACCCUUGCGAGGGGCAUUGACGGUACUGUAUGAAUAAGCACCGGCUAACUCCGUGCCAGCAGCCGCGGUAACAC
rnacentral:rRNA from 1 species